rnacentral:misc_RNA from 1 species
GAUGAAGAACGCAGCGAAAUGCGAUAAGUAGUGUGAAUUGCAGAAUUCAGUGAAUCAUCGAAUCUUUUAACGCACAUUGCGCCCCUUGGUAUUCCAUGGGGCAUGCCUGUUCGAGCGUCAUUUGUACCUUCAAGCUUUGCUUGGUGUUGGGUGUUUGUCCUGAGGGACUCGCCUUAAAGUAAUUGGCAGCCAGUGUUUGGUUUUGAAGCGCAGCACAAGUCGCGAUUCAAAGCUAUACGCCCGCUUCCACAAGCCUUUUUCACUUUUGACCUCGGAUCAGGUAGGGAUACCCGCUGAACUUAAGCAUAUCAAUAAGCGGAGGA